rnacentral:RNase_P_RNA from 2 species
CGGACCAGACUAGGCGAUCGCGGGAUCGAAAGAUUUCGAGGAAAGUCCGAACACCGCAGGGCAGGACGCUCCAUAACGUGGAGUCGCAGCAAUGUGAAGGAAAGUGCAGCAGAGAAUAGACCGCCGGGCACCCCUUGGGGUGCCCGGUAAGGGUGAAACGGUGCGGUAAGAGCGCACCAGUUUUCCAGGUGACUGGAAAAGCUUGGUAAACCCCGUCCGGUGCAAGACCAAAUAGAGAAGCGUUUGAGGGUUGCCCGCCUGAGCUUCCGGGUAGGUUGCUUGAGGUGCACGGCAACGUGCAUCCUAGAUGAAUGAUCGCUGCCCCGGCAUCGGGUAACCGUGCAGGGGUACAGGAUUCGGCUUACUGGCUGAUCUGGCCG